UCCAUCCGCCAGCUCACGGGCCCCCUGCACGCGAAUUCCAAGGGAACCGCCAGACCUUCAACAUCCAGCUCAGCUGACGAUGAUGCGUUGGGGCAGAGUUGGGGUGGAGCGAACCUAACCCAGCAACAGGGAUGUACACAAGGCCUACUAGCUGCUCGACAAAAUGUGGAAGAAGGGCAUUUCCCUUAUGUGAUCUCUUACGCGAGCCAGAUUGGAUGCAGCUCGACAAGUUCAGGGAAGGAUCCUGAUUUAUUCAGGACAUUUUGGAGAUGAAAGAUGAACCAAUUUUCUUGUUCUACACGGAAGUGUAGCACAUAAGUGGAAUAAGCAAUAACUUCAUCCUGGAAAAUGUUUCUUGGGCUGUUUUCACAUCAGUUAUGCUACUACUAAUUUCUUGUAGGGAUUUUAAUGUUUACUGAUCUCUUUCAUUUCACCCAUGUUCUUGCUGCAGAGUUCUGUUAUGUGAAGCACUUGCAGCUGAAUCUCGGCUAUCUGCUGCUUGCUGUAAUCACCAGUCACCAGAUGGCAUGCUAGCUGAACAACAACUAUUUAUCACACAAUUAGGGAUCCAGGCAGAACACAUCGGCCUCCAAAACCUAGAGCUCAAGUUUGGCAAUAACGAUUUAGACUAUGGUACUAGACACCAACACAAAAUUUGAGAAGGAAAGGUGAACGAUUCAAUCCAUAUCUCUAGC